CGCAGCCGCGGUAAUCCCAGCUCCAAUAGCGUAUAUUAAAGUUGUUGCAGUUAAAAAGCUCGUAGUUGAAUUUCGGGAUCAGUACGCUGGUCGUGCCUCCGGUAUGUACUGGUGUUACUGAUUCCUCCCUUCUGAAGAACCAUCAUGCCAUUCACUUGGUGUGGUGGGGAACCAGGACUGUUACUUUGAAAAAUUAGAGUGUUUAAAGCAGGCUCGCGCUUGAAUACAUUAGCAUGGAAUAAUGAAAUAGGACGUUUAUCCUAUUUUGUUGGUUUCUAGGAUUGACGUAAUGAUUAAUAGGGAUAGUUGGGGGCAUUAGUAUUCAAUUGUCAGAGGUGAAAUUCUUGGAUUUAUUGAAGACUAACUACUGCGAAAGCAUUUGCCAAGGAUGUUUUCAUUAAUCAAGAACGAAAGUUAGGGGAUCGAAGACGAUCAGAUACCGUCGUAGUCUUAACCAUAAACUAUGCCGACUAGGGAUCGGAUGAUGUUAAUUUUUAAUGACUCAUUCGGCGCCUUACGG
rnacentral:rRNA from 1 species